AGAGGGCACUGAAUGCUGCGGCACUCGGGUUAACAGAUGGUAGUGAGCUGUCUGAACUACUUAAAAUUUUCAGGUAAAAGGGCAGCAAGCAUUCUUAAACUGCUGAGCGGCCCUCUAGGUGUUCUUUGCUGGGGCAGGGGAGUUAGCAGGGAGGAAGUGGAGAGAACUGGGAGAGUUGAGACCCUCCUUCUGAGCGUUAAGCUGCAUGUAGAUAAUAUCUGCAGGUGUGGCACAAUUGAAAAGGCAGUGGCUUUCAGGCUAGUCACUGCACGGACUAGUAAGGCAGCUCUCUUGCUCCCAGCACCGUGCAUCUGAUUCUCCGUUCUCAGGGACCACCUGACAUGGUUAAACAGCCCUGGCUUAACGUUCCAGACACUGCUGCCAAUACUUGCGGCUGUUAGUUCCUGAUUUCUGCUUAAGCACACCGUGGGACAAUAGUAACAGGGCCAAAGGAAUACAUCUUCAACAUGUACAUAAAUUCCACCAAGUGGCUGCAUGGAAAAGCAAAAAUAAAGAAGGAGUUAGCUACACCUGAAAGGUUCUUCUUUAUGAACAAAUCACUCAGAAGAGGAUCAGCUGCUGAUCAUACGUCUGACUCAGCUAUAUCUCAUUGCUAUGGCUCUUGGCCACAAGAUAUCUGACUCUGUGUCACCAGCCUAACAGAAGAUCACAUUGUGCUGCCAAAGCACAGAACACACCCAGCUUCUUGGAUUUCAUCUGUCUUGCAUUUCCUUAUGUAUCAGUUACAGGAAAAGCAGCAACUGAAAUACAGCUCUCAAAUGCUCUGGAUGGUAAAUAAAACAAGGCAUAUGCUAUAAUACCCUC
rnacentral:lncRNA from 1 species